rnacentral:lncRNA from 1 species
GUGUCGCCCGUCGGGAAGGCUCGGGUUAAGGCGCUUGGAGCGAGGGGAGCCUGUGCGCGGGUGGGUCUGGGGCUUUUUUUUUUAAUUUUUGAGGAGUCUCUGGUCGGGGGGGGGUCUCAGGCGGGGUGCAGGCAGCCCCCCCCGCGCGCCUCGGCCUCGGGACUUACCGCAGCGGGGCCGCGCGUGGGCGAAACCGGGGGGGAGGCGCCGGCUCCCGGGAGAUUUACCGGGGCGAACGCCGCCCGAACCCCCCCCCCGGGGGGGUCCCUCCCGGUCCCGUUUGAAAGCCGGGGCUGUCGGCCUCGAAGCGGGGGCGGCGGGCGCGGGGGGGGGUCGCCGCGGUCCCCGCCGAGGAAUCGCUGCCUUCCCCGCCGGACGGCCGGACGUCCCCCCCCUCCCCCGUUUUUAAACGGGGAUCGUACCACGGCGGAAGCCCCGACCUGCCUCUGCACACUGCUCACACCACCACACAGUGUAGAAAAGCCAAAAAAUAACCAAAACCAAACAAACAAAAAACAAAAACAAAAACCUCACUCGGAGAAAACACGCAGCAUCCAGAGCCAAGCAGCACCCAGAGCUCAGUGCAGCAAGGACACGGCCCCGCGGCCCAAGGACUAUCUGCAGCACAGAGAAAGAGGCGCCGCGUGCCCCAGCAGACACUCCUCUUACUUAAACCAAGGCACACCGAGCCCGAGAAGGGUCGCAGUGUAUGUUUGAUGGGCCGCCAUCUUUCACAACUGUGCUAACUCACUCUUGACGCGUCCAAUGGGCUGGCACCGGCCUCGGAGCAGGCGAAGGGAAGAGAAGAGCGACCUGAGCGCGUCCCGGCCGCGGCUGGCGGCUCCUCGCACCGAGUCCCGCUGGGGCUUUGCUGCCUGUACCGGUCUCGCCCCCCCCCUCUCCCCUUUGUCGGGGCGGGGGGGGUGGAUGUCUUGCCACUUUGUUUUAAUUUC